UGAACUUGAGUUUUUGCAUGUAUUUAAAUACAUGCAAAGAGAAAAUGCUUAAGGAGGAUGUUAUGUCAUCCAAAUCUCCUCCAUCAUUUGGGAUACUCUAUGAAUGAAAAUUCUCUACUUGUCUUGCACUUGUCAUUUGAAAAAAGAACUUUGAGAAAUAUCCUUGCAACAAAUAGGGCAAGUUUAUCUUGGGACAACCAAAUCACCAUAUAUGUUGAAGCGGCCAGGGAAUUAGCUGUUCCUCAUGUGCGUCGUCACCAGUGGGGUUUAUUCCAUACUUCAAGGACAUGAACAUUUGUUGUGCUAUCCGCUUCUAACACGAGUCUCCCCAGCACCCCAUCACCCCCCUUUAAGACAAAUGAGCUGGAUUGUCACUCGGUAAGCGGCAAAGCAUUCCAAGACCUCUUGGAUUUCGGAAACUCCCCAACACCUUAUUCUCAAUGGACUUUGAGACUGGCGCACACACAAAUAUUCGGGAAUAAAUUGAAUGCAAUCACCUCCAGAACAAGCAUACAACAAUGGACACAAAGAUUUAUAGAGGUUCGAUCAAUCUUUCUUACAUCCUCUUAGUGAUCCUUCUGAGAAAUUUCACUUAUGAAAGAAUAUGUUACAACUUUGGUUUACAUAGAAACCCCCUUAGGAUAUUACUCUCUCCCUCAAGCUCACUUUUUUUCCACAUCCUGCUCAAACCCUUUAUGCCCCUACUUUGCCCUCUUGCAAAGCUUGCUUUGCUUGCACUAGCUCUUUUGGACACUUUGCAUUCUUAACUCUCACUUGCUCUCAAAGCACCUUGGACUCCCAGUCCACCCAUUUGGGCUGGUACUUCCCCCCUUUGUAUUAUCUACACUUCUUCCUUAAAUAGACAAGUAUGGAGCUUCCUUCAGCUGCCACCUCACCUUGCUAACCAUCUUUAUUAAUGUCUUGUGCUGAAAAGUCUUCACCAGCCACUUUUGUCUUGUGCAGAAAAGUCUUCAUACCAGCCAACUUCGAUGCAAAGCCUCCACAUUAAUGUCUUGUUUGCUACAACACACCAAUUGCACAUAUUCAAUGCAUUUGGAUGUUCAGCUCCUAUCAAAAGCCUUGAAUGCUUAGCCACCCAUAUCAAUUCUUGGGAUAGGAAGUCAUGCACAUAAAACUACAACAACAUGCUAGAAGUCACACCUAGAGCUAUUACAAAUCAGUUCCCCCUUCCCAAACUAAUUCCUAACCCCCAAAACAGCUCACAAGCUUUCUAACAAACUUAUAGACUUUGGGGUUACAAAACCAUGUCGAAUGAAAAUUAAAAACAUAUGGAAAAACAAGCCAAAAAGGGUGGAGAAAACAACACAGCAUGACAAAAGUAACCGGUCACUCAUGUAUAUGUGCUUGGUGAGCUAAGGACUCCCUAUGAAAAUCAUCGAACCUCCAAAACAUCCUCAACCUCUUGAAAUCUUUCCGGUGAGCUCCAAAAGCUCCAUCAUUUCAAGAAACCCCUUGCCUCAACACACCUUUGGUGGAAGGUGCUCCACCCAAGUGUUGGACAUCUCGUGCAGGUAAAAGUUCCCCUUUAGUAUGCAAACCCUCACACCCUCCUUAUUCAAUAAAUCCGCAUGCAGCCACCUUUCCUCUCAAAUUCACGAAUUGAGUCCCUUCAAGAUCUCUUGGAUUGCGAAAACUCUCCAAGAUCUUGUCUUUAAUAGACUUUGCGACUGGCACACACAAACAAACAUUCGUAGAUGAAUUAAAUGCAAACACCUUCGGAACAAGCAUACAACCAUGUACACAAAGAUUUAUAGAGGUUCAACCAAUCUUUCCUGCAUCCUUUGGUGAUCCCCCUGAGAAAUUUUACUUAUGAAAGAGCAUAUUACAACUUUGGUUUACAGAGAAACCCUCUUACAACACUACUCUCUCCCUCAAGCUUACUUUGCUUGCUCCCAUGUGUUUACCCUUACCCUUGAGCCUAAAACCCCUUGCUCUGGCUCUCUUGGACACUUCGUAUUCUCAGCUCUCACUUGCUCUUAAAGCACAUUGGAGUCCUAAGCCCCUUAUUUGGGCUGGUACUUCCCCCAUUUGUAUCAUCUGCACUUCUUCCUUAAAUAGACAAGUAGAGAGCUUCCUUCAAUUGCUACCUCACCUUGCCAACCACCCUCAUUAAUGUCUUGUGCUGAAAAGUCUUCACCAGCCACUUUUGUCUUGUAUCGAGAAGUCUUCACACUAGCCAUAUUGGAAUGGGAAGCCUUCACAUUAAUGCCUUGUCUACUACAAUACAUCAGAGCUACACAUAUUCAAUGCAUUUGGAUGUCCAGCAGCCCUUAUCAAAAGCCUUGAAUGCUCAGCCACCCCUAUUAGUGCUUGGGAUAUGAAGUCAUGCACCUAGAACUACAACAACAUUCUGGAAGUCACAC
rnacentral:lncRNA from 1 species